CCUUCGUCUCCCUUCACCUGUUAGCGCGCGUGCCACCGUCACCACCGCCUCUCCGUCCCACUUCCCCAUCUCUUCCGAUCAUUAAGGUCUGCAUCAUUUGAUUUACCAUCAUUUGUAUUACUGGGAUCCGCCCGAGCUUCCCCGAUAUCCUCCUCCUCUUCCUCCUCAUACCUGAUAGCUCCCUUCCCUCCUCCCGAACCUUGACAACCCCCUCUCCUUCCUCCUCCGUCUUCCCCUCCCAAUCGACAGCAACCCACCUACCAUACCCCGACAGCCCCCUCUCCUGCUCCUCGGAUAUCUCCUUGCUCCUCUGCCAACAUACCGCAACGCCCCUCCCCAUACCCCAACAACUCCCUCUCCAUCCUCCUUCUCCUCCUUGUUUAUUUAUUAUUAUUAUAUAUUUAUAAUAUUUUAAUAUUCGGGAGCGUCUCGGACGUUUUGGCACUUCGGCUCGUUUGAUUAUACUGGUUAUAUUACGGUCAAAUGGAAGUAAUGGAAGAAGGGAGGGAAAUCAGCAGUAGCAAUACUGUAAUGUGCCUUUUAACUGAUCCUGAGGGAGAGCCCCUUGGUGCUCCACUCUAUCUCCCACAGAAUGCUGGUCCACCACAGCUCCAGGAAAUUGUCAACAAGCUGCUAAAGAAUGAGGAAAAAAUGCCUUAUGCAUUUUACAUAUCAGAUCAGGAGCUUAUCGUUCAGCUUGGUUCUUAUUUGCAAAAGAACAAAGUGUCUGUGGAGAAGGUGCUACGCAUAGUCUACCAACCUCAAGCACUAUUCAGAAUCCGUCCAGUCAAUCGAUGUUCUGCAACUAUAGCUGGUCACACAGAAGCUGUACUUUCUGUUUCCUUCAGCCCUGAUGGACAGAACUUGGCCAGUGGUUCUGGUGAUACAACUGUUCGACUAUGGGAUCUUAAUACUCAGACCCCUUUGUUCACUUGCUCAGGUCAUAAAAAUUGGGUGCUUUGCAUUGCAUGGUCAUCGGAUGGUAAACAUCUUGUGAGUGGUAGCAAAGCUGGUGAACUUUUGACAUGGGAUCCACAAACUGGGAAACAGUCCGGUGGUCCACUUCUUGGACACAAGAAAUGGAUUACUGGUAUUUCCUGGGAGCCUGUGCAUUUGCAAGCUCCUUGUCGCCGUUUUGUUAGUUCCAGUAAGGAUGGGGAUGCACGUAUUUGGGAUAUUUCUUUGAGGAAGUGUGUUAUUUGUCUUUCUGGUCACACUCUGGCAGUUACCUGUGUAAAGUGGGGUGGUGAUGGGAUGAUAUAUACAGGCUCUCAGGAUUGUACGAUCAAAGUAUGGGAAACGUCUCAGGGAAAGUUAAUCCGUGAGUUGAAGGGACAUGGCCAUUGGGUUAAUUCCCUAGCUUUGAGCACUGAAUAUAUUCUCCGCACAGGAGCAUUUGAUCACACCAGAAAAACAUAUUCAUCACCAGAGGAAAUGAAAGAGGCAGCUCUUGCUAGAUACAACCAGAUGAAAGGUAAUGCUCCUGAGAGGCUGGUUUCGGGUUCUGAUGAUUUUACUAUGUUUCUCUGGGAACCUGCAUUGAGUAAGCACCCAAAGGCACGCAUGACUGGUCAUCAACAGCUUGUAAACCAUGUGUACUUUUCACCGGAUGGACAAUGGUUGGCUAGUGCCUCCUUUGACAAAUCUGUCAAGUUAUGGAAUGGUAUUACAGGGAAGUUUGUUGCUUCAUUCCGUGGACAUGUUGGUCCUGUGUACCAAAUCAGCUGGUCUGCUGACAGUAGGCUUCUACUUAGUGGAAGCAAAGACUCCACUCUGAAGGUCUGGGAUAUUCGAACACAGAAGUUGAAACAAGACCUACCAGGUCAUGCCGACGAGGUUUUCUCCGUGGACUGGAGUCCAGAUGGUGAAAAAGUGGCAUCUGGUGGCAAGGAUAGAGUAUUGAAAUUAUGGAUGAAUUAGGAAGGAGCAAAAUCAAAGCAACUUAUGGAGGGCUGGAUUUUGCAUUGUGAUGAGUUUGUGUCAAUAUCUUGUUCAAGUGACGUCGAGGAUGGAUGGUUAACGCUAUGCCGGCUGCAUGAUAAGCUGCGUCAAUGAGUGUCAGUUUGGGUGCCUUGUAUAUGGCUCUCGUAACACGGCAACGGGCUGCAUCGGUUUUGGAAUCACCUGUGUAAUGCAAGAUGUCAAACAAAUGCCACCGGUCAACUCAAACAAGCAAACAGGUUCAGAGUCUUCAUUACUUACAAAUUAGAAACGCACUCAACAUGUCUGCUUUAUAGCGUACCAAAAAUGAUGAUUUUUUUUAUCCUUCGAAAGUAAGUUAAGAUUUCUUGGAGGUGCCACAAUCUGCUGAUUCAUUUACUAAAUUAUUUCACGCUUAUUAUGUUAUUUUGUGAGUAAAAAGAAAGAAGUAAAAAAAAACUCAAGUGUUUUUUCUUC